UACGGAGGGUGCAAGCGUUAUCCGGAUUUAUUGGGUUUAAAGGGUCCGCAGGCGGACUUGUAAGUCAGUGGUGAAAGCCUUCAGCUUAACUGGAGAAUUGCCAUUGAUACUGCUGGUCUUGAGUUCGGUUGAAGUGGGCGGAAUAUGUAGUGUAGCGGUGAAAUGCAUAGAUAUUACAUAGAACACCUAUUGCGAAGGCAGCUCACUAAGCCGAUACUGACGCUCAGGGACGAAAGCGUGGGGAGCGAACAGGAUUAGAUACCCUGGUAGUCCACGCUGUAAACGAUGAUAACUCGCUGUUGGCGAUAUACUGUCAGCGGCCAAGCGAAAGCGUUAAGUUAUCCACCUGGGGAGUACGAUCGCAAGGUUG
rnacentral:rRNA from 1 species